GCCGGUGUAUACACACACGAAUUAACGCGUAGAUCGACUAACGGUGUAAAGCUCCAUAUAUGUAGUAGGCUCGGCGAUCAAGUGAGGUCACAAAACCGAGCAUAAGGUUUACACGUUCGAAGGUCUGGUCAAACCAGUUGACGGAAACCUGAGAAGAUAAAGAUCCUCCAGUAAACAGAGUGUACAUCAAGAAUCCCUUAGCUUUAGUCCAGUUUCUAUUGGAAACUGCAUUUGCUAUAUAAAUCGGAGAUUGUAGCUGAUAUAAUUAGAUUGCAAUUUUUAAGCAAAUUCGUAUUCUUGAGAACAUAAUUAAAAAAAGUUCAUCUUGGUAGAAAAUUGUUUUAUCCUACCAGAUAUUACAGAAAAUUGUUUUAUCCUACCAAUUAUUACAGAAAACAUCAUGCUUUGGAUAUUUUAUAUAUUUUUUGAUGUUACGCAUGCGCAUUUUGUGUUAUUUUGCGCUUUUAAAUUUCUCACGCAUAGAAACGAUGCUACCUAACCUACAAAAAUCCACAGUCUAGUUAUAACUCAAAUCAAAAGAGCUAUGGUAUAAGAAUUCAUAUGUUUGUUUGAAUGAUUUUGGUUACGAAAAAAGGGAAACUGUCCUGUUUGGUCAAUGAAAAGCGUGAGAAGGCAGUCAACUGUUAAUUCGUAUAAGGUUGAAAAAGUCAGACGCAUAGAUGGCAGGCAACCUUUUUCCUCGAGGGGAAGAAGUUGGGAGAGGAAAAGAGUCCAAAUAUUUCAGAAGCAGGUAUGUUACGACUGAAAGAAAACGGGUCAGGUUUUCCUACGUUUCCGUUCACACGAUGCAACGGUAUCAUGAGUGCAUCAGGAAUUAUUACCGGGAAUUAAAUUGAGAAUAAUUUCUACGUAAGCACAUUCACUAGUUCCAGGCUUCUGUUCGAGGAAGAGUACAAUUUAUCAGUAAUUGAACAUUUAAUAUGAAUAUACGAUAAAGAAGAGUUUCCGGAGCCCUUCUGCGCAAUUAGGUUAAUAUUAUUUGUAGAUUGUUUGCUAAAAAAGAUGUAUACUAAAUACUACAAAUUCUAUAAAACUUUCUUUCAUGGUAAGAACAAGAAUCAUUGAAAAUGAAACGUAGUUAAACCUACAAAGCCCUGAGGCUGAAGUGAAAUCGAAAUAGCCAUCAUCCUUCAACUUUGGCUGCCAAACACAAGAAUUCUUGCAGCGGAAAACAAGCCCGCAUUUUUCAUCGAUUACUCUUUUUAUGUAUAUCAAGUAGAAAAUAACCUAUCGUUUUUAACAUGUGCAGACUCUUUGGCGCGUAGGCUGCCUAUUCGUGUAUCAAGUAUAUGAAAUACGAUAGUAGAAAUAGCCGGUUGAUGGAAUUUAUCCUCUCACUUAUACUAGUCUCUCGGAUACUGCCGACUUCUCUGUACAUUUACAACUCGCCAUUAAAUUACAUUUCAUAGAUACAACUUGUUCAAUUUGUUCAAAAUGCAGAACAUAUGAUAAACAAUAUCCUAGCAUUUUGUUCUAUUGUAAUUAUAAAAUUAAAGGGCGUGUGCGUACAAGAUAGUAAAGAUUCUGCUAGACGACAGCUUAGUUAAAACUUCAUUAGCUUGCUUCGUUUUUCUUCUUUUCGAUUCUACUACUAUUACAAUUUUUAUAGAACCAUUUUCCACGCAACAUAACUUGCAUGUGCUUCUAUAUUCAUCAAACGACCAAUUACAAUCACAAUUGCACAGAAACAAUUUUAUAAAUCAAUUUUUUAAACAACGAAGAGGUUCUUUUCAGACUCAUUGCUAUUCAGAUUUUUAUAGAACCAUUUUCACCAAAGCAAAGGCAGGUUCCAUGUAAUUCGUGUAUUCAUUGAAUGUCCAUACACGUUCGAAACACGUCAAGGAUGGGCGCAAUGAACGCUUGCGAACGUAUAUUAUGCACGAACGUAGAUACCACCGGAAGAAUCAAUUCAACGCCUUCUCUACGGCACAUUUAUUUAUGCAGUAAAACAGAACAGGUCGUUUAAGUAUCUUAAUUGAUCGCCGGAACCUGACAUGCACGUCGUGCACCUGUAGAAACGUAGUGCAUACCGAAGCUUCGAUCGAAAGGGCCGAUUGAAAGAAUGCGACGAGCGUUCAUCGUACACCUGAAUGAAUGCUUGUACGUACGCAUGUGUGAACGAUACAUUGAGCAAGCUCUUACAUUCCAAACUUUUCCAUUGCCAGAUCCUAGAAGCUAUCGUUCUGUAGUAUGCACCGAUAAGUAAUCUACCCAAUAUCUCUGUUAUCUUCUGAAAAAUAGAUUCGAAACCGUGUAGUAGGUUCGGAAUUGGAAAAUUGGUAAUUUUGAAAAUUCCGAUACUCGAAAGUAACUAAAAGUUGAAAAAUUGGAAAUUGGAAGGCUUAAAAAUGGGAAGAUUCCGAUAUUCGAAAGCUUCAAAGUUGAAAAAUUGGAAAUUAGAAGGCUUAAAAAUGGGAAGAUUACAAACUUUGAAAAUUCAGAGACAUGCACGCUUCAAAACUCGGAAACUGGACAUUUUGGAAUUACGUGAAUCUGAACCCUCCAAAAUUCGAAGUCGGAAAUUUCGAAAAUUGGAAAUCCGACAAUUUUAAAGCUAUAAGAGUACGAACAUUUUAAAUGCGAAGGAUUCUACAGAUUUUUGUUUAAUAAUAUAACAAAUGAAACGUGUUUCGCAGUAAGUAAUGCAAGUUUCAGCAAGUUGUAAAUUAUACUUAAAUUAAACUUGAAUCGGUAUUUGUUUUACGUACAACAGUAAUCAGUAUAUAUCUCGCAAAGGUAUUCAUACAUGGAACUUAUCCUGGUCACGUAUUCGAUCACUCACGUACACGAUAUCCUUUGUAAAACAAUAAGUUUAACUUUUAUGCCUGGUUACAUUUCAAUGUAAUAAAGAUCUUGAAUCUCAAUGUAUUAUUGUACGUCGAUAUCUUUGAAUGAUCAAUAGAUUUUUCUAAAUACAGUUUUAAUAUGAUUUAAAUGUUCCAAAUACCGAUGUAUGGAAAUGAUUCGUUGGAAGUUACGGUAAUGUCAUUUUGCUAGAAACAGAUACGAGUCAGACGUGACUCGUCUAUUUGCGUAAUCAAUUAAUUAAUCAGUCAGCCCGAAGCAAGGUCAGGAGAUGAAUUAUUUAAUAAAGAACAUUUUUGCCCAUACGCUGUUUCUCAACGUGAUGAUGGGAAACUGUUAUAAAAGUUCCGCAUUUUUAUAUGUGAAAGUGUUAAUUUAAGAUUGAUAGGAUAUUGUAUAGAAAUAUUUAUUCGUUUCUGGGCCAACGUUUCACUUUCUUUUAAUUACUUGCUAAGUGGAUACAGAAAUAGUAAUUUAUAUAAGAUUGAAAUAAAUAUGCAAGAAAAAUUGAACGUUGGAAAAUUGAGAAUUUAAAGGCUCAAGAAUUGAAAAGUUAGAAACUUAAUGGUCUUUAGAAUUGACAAAAGUAGAAAUUUUUUUAACAGUUAUAACUCAGAAUAUUUGGAUUUAGAUUAAGGUACAUAGUUUAGCAAAUCAGGCACUCUAGAAAUCAGUGUUUCCUUACUUAAGUAGCCCAUCACUUAAACUGUCUAGAAACGCGAGUCUUUUAAUUACUCCAGCCUGUUAAUACGAUCUUGUAAAUCUUUUUAAGGGAAUCUUGGUAUUAACGAAGUCUGAGAAAACUUUUGCUUCGAGGAACAGCGAGGAACUUACUGACACGAUAUUAUUCAUUGUAUCCGCGGGAACAUAGCUGAAGAUUGUAUAAUUCUCAGUAGUGAAUGGAGAGACUUUGCAGUUUACGAGUAAGUUGGUCACCGAGUGAUGGUUACAUUCUUCACGUCAAUUACGUCGUAUUUAUAAUUAACUUGCGCGACAGCUAAUCCAAUUACUGUUAUCAAAUUAUUUAAUUCAAAACUUUAUGUAAAUCUUUUGUAACAUUGAGCUACUAAACCAGACCUUAAUAUUGCAUAAAGAAAGUCCGUAUUUUUUAAUAUAUUAGAGAGAAAGGGAAUAAUUAAUUGUGAUUCUUUAAAUUAUGACAUAGAUUUCUUUUUUAUGCCUAUUUAAGUAGAGCGUAAUUAAUUUAAGAAAUAUUAAUAUAUUAGCGAAAUAAAUAAUUGUAACUAAUUUCUUAUAAUCGAUUACUAGUAGUUAAUUUCUCUAAUAUCAUAGCGUGCAAAGAUUAUCAGUAUAAUUUUAUCUUUUAUCAUAAGCAUUAUCCUUUGAUAAUAAUUCUCAUAUCUGAUACAUUUUCCACAUUAUCUUUAAGCAACUAAAAUUUCUUUAUACCUUUAUACAAUGCAAUAAAAUAUGUUACGGUGUACUUAACAACGACUUGGUUGGUAACUGGCGGUACAAACGGAAAGGGGGUGAUUCUACGCGAAAAAAGAAGUCGAAAAUAUAGAAUAAAAAUUUUUCGUUCGAGGCCUUGUUUUCGAGAAAAUCGACUUUGAAUGUUCGCUCGGUACGCGUGCACUUUAUCGCGUCUCGUUAUAACGGAUCUCACUGUAGAUCGUUGUCUCGAUGGAAAAAUUAAAAAAAAAAUUUUUAUUCUAUAUUUUCGACUUCUUUUUUCGCGUAGAAUCACCCCCUUUCCGCUUGUACCACCAAUUACCAACCACCCUGUGUAUAUAUUUUAUUAUAUGAAAAAGUAAGUCCCUCUUUCCUGUUAGAAAAGGGAAAAAGAGAAUGUCAAACAAUCACCAAAGGAUAAAUAAUUUCUUUUAAAUUGUUAAAACAUACUUUUCGUAACUUGGACUUCCAAAUAAAAUCCAAAGAAAAGGACCAACCAGCAGAAGAUAAUUGAAUAUCAUUUACCAGGAACGUCGUCGCGUCCGCCGACGCGUCCCACGAUCGAACGUACAAAUAAUCCCAUUAAACUAUGAAAACGAGCACGGCCUGUACAGAAACGGGACCCGUAACGAGUCUAACAGUACAGGCAAACUGCGGGCAGAACGCGUGAAAAAGAGGGUUCGACCCUUCUACCAUAAAAGGGAGUUAAUUCGUUUAUAGGGCGGACAAAAAAAAGCGAAAAGAAAGAGAAAAGGGAAUAAAAAAGAAACGAAAGAAGAGUUUCAGGGUCGUAACGACUGGUAUAUACGUGUAAGUACGAAUUGUGAGUCACAGGAUGUGUUGCGAGCCCCAGAUAAAACGCGUCAGAGUUAUCAUUUGUCUACGCGGGAUGUGCAUCAUCGAGCGUCGUAUAAACGCGAUUGUUUCUUCUAAUGAUCACAGUUUUAAAACAAAAGACGAAACCACAAAUGGACGAAACGCUUAGUUCUGUCUUCAUCGAAAACUUAAUUGUUUCUGUGAAGUAGUUUGCAUGUUGUCAUCGUGGCUUGAUGAUUAUGGAGUAGAUUUGAUAUACAGAGUACGUUACGCAAUUGGGCCGAGUCAUAUCUCGAAGUUGAUAAAAGAUAGAAAAAAAAAAAACUGUAGGAGAAAAAGUUGAAUGGUAUGAUAAUCAUGUGACGAUGGACCGGAAAGAUGCAAUUAGUUUCCAUCUUUUUAAUAACAAGAAGUAAUCAUGUUUCGUGUUUUUGCAAGAAUUAGAAAAUUCGAAUAACACACUACGAACACUGUAUAAUAAAUUUUCUCUAAAUUUUCGUUUAGUUGUGAUGCAUUAUAGAAUAAAUAAAGUUAGGGAUCAAACUACA